AUGUCAUCCUCUUUCCCGGCUCCCCCGCCGCGGUACGCCGACGACCCUGGCACCUCCGUGUCGUCGUGCAUCCUCAUCAUCCUCGGGCUCUUCGCCUUCGUCGUCGUCGCCUCCUGCUCCAUCAGCGCCUGCCUCGGCCGCCGCUCCAACCGCGAGCGGCCGUCUCCCCCGCCCUCACCGCCGCCCGGGGCGCACCGCCAAGACGACGACUGGACGGCGGAGGGGAAGAAGGAUCUGAUCGACUCGCUGCCCCGGUUCACGAUGGCGUCGGCCCUGGCGGCGCUGCCCAAGAGCUCCCCGGACUGCGCCGUCUGCCUCUCGCCCUUCAGGCCCGAGGCCGAGCUGCGGCUGCUCCCGGCGUGCCGCCACGCGUUCCACGCCGUCUGCGUCGACGCCUGGCUCCGCACCACCCCGACCUGCCCGCUCUGCCGCGCCACCGUCGCGCCCCCGCACCCCUCCAUCGCCGCCCUCCUCGCCGCCGAGCAGCCGCCGCCGACGCCGGAGCCUGCUGCCGCGAGGGGCAGGGACCGCUCCAGGAGGUUCCGCGUCGAGAUGGGCAGCGUCAGCAGCCGCGGCGGGUCGCCCGCCACUUCCACCGCCAGCGACGACAGCCGCACCUACUCGCUCGGAUCCUUCGAGUACCACAUCGACGAGGAGGUCGAGGCCGUCGUGUCCCGCAUGGUGCGUGCCGCGUCCACGGCCGACACCAUCAAGGAUGAGAAACCAGCAGCCCAGGGGUCGCCGUCGCCGUCGCCGCCCGGCGAGGCGGUGGCCGAAGCGGCAGGGACGCCGCCGCGCGGCUGGCUGCGGGAGUGCAUGGACCGCGUGGCCUCCUCGGCGUCAUCCUUCUCCUACUCCCUCUCUGCCCGGUGGAGCCAGAGCCAGCAGGGCCACAGGCAGGAGGAGCCGUGGCUGUGGGACGCAGAGGCGGCAACGGUGCCGCCGCCGCCGCCGCCGCCGGGGUCGGACGAGGAGGUGGAGACGACGUUCAUGGUGCUGUACCGGUGGAUCGCCGCCGUCUGA
rnacentral:rRNA from 1 species